CAACAUCUCCCUACCCCCUUUCCUCAGUGCGGCGAGGGAACUCCCCAGGCCACCGGGUUCUUUGAAGUGAUGGUAGCCGGGAAGUUGAUUCACUCUAAGAAGAAAGGCGAUGGCUACGUGGACACAGAAAGCAAGUUUCUGAAGCUGGUGGCCGCCAUCAAAGCCGCCUUGGCUCAGGGCUAAUGCGCCCUGAAGGCAGAGUCCAGGGACCUUGACCCAGCCCCUCUCAGCAGACGCUUCAUGAUAGGAAGGACUGAAAAAUCUUGUGGACACCUGGUCUUUCCCUGAUGUUCUCGUGGCUGCUGUUGGGG
rnacentral:sRNA from 1 species